rnacentral:rRNA from 1 species
UACGUAGGGGGCAAGCGUUGUCCGGAAUUAUUGGGCGUAAAGCGCGUGUAGGCGGUCCGGUAAGUCGGCUGUGAAAGUCCAGGCUCAACCCUGGGAUGCCGGUCGAUACUGCCGGACUAGAGUCCGGGAGAGGUGAGUGGAACUGCGAGUGGUGAGAGGUGAAAUUCGUGAGAUAUUCGCAAGAACACCAGUGGCGAAGGCGGCUCACUGGCCCGGUACUGACGCUGAGGUGCGAAAGCGUGGGGAGCAAACAGGG